rnacentral:lncRNA from 7 species
CUCUUCGUCGCGGCGCAAUCCUCUCGUGCGGCCCAACAAACUCACCACACUACACGGACUUUGUUACAACCACCACCGAGUACCGUCCGUCCAUGAAUCCUCUAGGCGUAGGCCCAUCUAUAUGCCCAUGCCUAGCCCUUGCCAUGCCCCACCGUAUUAUGGGAGAGGAUCACCACCACGCGCAGGAAAGCGAGUACAGGGCCACCGCACGCAAUCUUCGACUCGCCAUCGAUUCAUCCUGGAUGAGCGCACUGUGGAUGUCACCAGGGAGCCAUGGAAGCUAGUGCAGACAUCACUCGGGACCGGAGAUGCCCUGCUCACGGUGGAUUGCACACCGACGGAAGUCUCAGCCAUGAAUCUGCCCCACACCGCGAGUCGAUCUCUUCGUGACAUCACCACUGGAGAAGAAAAGGUAUCGCCAGAGGAGACUACUACGAUG